UACGUAGGGGGCAAGCGUUGUCCGGAUUUAUUGGGCGUAAAGAGCGUGUAGGCGGCUUGGUAGGUCUUGCGUCAAAACCUGAGGCUCAACCUCAGUUCGCGUGGGAAACCACCUAGCUAGAGUCUGGAAGAGGAGAACGGAAUUCCCAGUGUAGCGGUGAAAUGCGCAGAUAUUGGGAAGAACACCAGUGGCGAAGGCGGUUCUCUGGGACGGUACUGACGCUGAGACGCGAAAGCGUGGGGAGCGAACAGG
rnacentral:rRNA from 1 species